GAUGAACGCUGGCGGCGUGCCUAAUACAUGCAAGUCGAGCGAACAGACGAGGAGCUUGCUCCUCUGACGUUAGCGGCGGACGGGUGAGUAACACGUGGAUAACCUACCUAUAAGACUGGGAUAACUUCGGGAAACCGGAGCUAAUACCGGAUAAUAUAUUGAACCGCAUGGUUCAAUAGUGAAAGACGGUUUUGCUGUCACUUAUAGAUGGAUCCGCGCCGCAUUAGCUAGUUGGUAAGGUAACGGCUUACCAAGGCAACGAUGCGUAGCCGACCUGAGAGGGUGAUAGGCCACACUGGAACUGAGACACGGUCCAGACUCCUACGGAAGGCAGCAGUAGGGAAUCUUCCGCAAUGGGCGAAAGCCUGACGGAGCAACGCCGCGUGAGUGAUGAAGGUCUUCGGAUCGUAAAACUCUGUUAUUAGGGAAGAACAAAUGUGUAAGUAACUAUGCACGUCUUGACGGUACCUAAUCAGAAAGCCACGGCUAACUACGU
rnacentral:rRNA from 1 species